rnacentral:lncRNA from 1 species
AUCAAAGCUGCUAUCUAUGGAUGACAAAGACUUAGAAUGACGUCUGAACUCUCAUCAGGGAGACACAGCAAUCAAUAUACGGAAGAAGUACAUUGGUUCGGAGACACAUCAAUCAACAUAUGGACGAAGUACAUGGGUUCGGUCUGGAAAGGCGGGACAACUUGAAGCAAAGGCAGGAAGACUCCAAGCAGGGAGGGAGCUUCCCGGUUUCAGCUUCUACUCCUGCCUUGAAAAAUUCUUGCCUGCAAACCAUUUGGGAGGCCAGGAUUUGAAGAUGAGCUGUCUGGUCCUGCUUGUUUGGCACCCUGAAAAUAAAUGACUUCCUUUCUGCCACUGCAACCUCAGUGUGGAUAUCUGGUUUUACUGUGUUGGGUCCCAGUGUGUGUUGUGCCCCCACCCUCCAUGUUUCCAUGUGUUCUCAGCACAGAAUGGGCGUUUGAAGGAAGACUUUGAAGAAGAAAAUGGGAAUGAUUUCCAAUGAAGAAGUUGAACCCCUGAGGAAUAAAGUAACUUGCCCAUGGUUACAUAGACAGUAAAAGUUAGCCGAAGACACAGGUCUUUUGCUUUCAGAUUCAGUAAAGGUCUCAUUACAUUAUCCCACUACUCAUAAUGUAAAAUAAUGUGUUUGAUAUUUUCUAGUAUUCAUGUUAUGAUGAAAUAAUCCCUUGGUAAGUAAAAUUUUCCAUACAGGCAGUCAGUCUGCCUCUGUUAGCCUUAUUCUUUUCCCUUGAAAUUCAGAGGAAAAUUUUAAAGGUAAGAAACUGAAACACAUAUUUUGGUCCUUAUAUUGUCAGUGUUUCUACAUAAGGAAAACAAUGUGACUAAAACAGAUGACAUCUAUUAUUGGAUUUCCACUCAAUAAAAUGUUUAUUUUCUCUAAUCAACUCCACUUUUUUUUUCUGCCCAUUAGUGUUAUCCAAGUAAUACAUCACGUAAGGACACCAUUAAGUAGAAUGCCUGUCUGUAUCUACAGAAAAUGAGCAGAUGGUUGGUUCCUCAAACAUUUAAAAUAAAGACAAAUGUAGUCUUGGGUUUAGGGGUGAGACAGUGGCAGGCAGGACACUUGGGAUGAAAUGUAUAAUGACGUUGUACUCCACACUCCCUGCAUGUUUACAAUGUACUAUAGAUGUGAAAGUUAAUGCAC